UAGUAAUCAGUGUGAACCUCUAUUACAGCUAGUGACUUUCAAAAUGAGAACAAUCUUUGUGGUGUUAAGAAAAUAGCUCAAAAUUAAACAAACUCGUACUACGUCUGAUGUGGUUGGCCUAAGAAAUAGCACAGUCAAUUAUAUUUACGUGUUGUGACGCUAUUUAACUAAUACUCUUAAUAGAAGACUUUUUUGAAAAAACACACUCAAUUGAAAAUACAAUGAGAAAAUGAUGACAAGAUUUAAUUUACGUAGAAAUUAUUUUUUUAGUAGGUACAAAAUAAUGGGAGAAAGAAUGUAGUGUAAUUAUAUCAAAUAAAAUGUAAAAUAUUUUUAUUGCAUUUAAUAAAAGGGAUGCGUUUCCUAAUUAACAUAGUAAUAUUUCUCUGGCCACCACGGCGUAUAUAAAUUAACAAAGAAUAUUCCCUUAUUUGCUUAAUUAAUUUAUAGAUUUUGGUUUUACUACAAGCGAAUAUUGGAUUAUCGUUCAAGAUAAUCACAAAUAAUUCGCGAUUGGAUUGUACUAAAACCAGAGUAAUUUGCAUUGAUGAUAGUUCCUUUACUACUUGCAGUGUCUUCAUGAAUUCAAUUAUAUUAAGCAGCGAAAUUAUUAAUUGUCCCCCUGAACACAUCUGUAGGGAAUCAAGUAACGAUCCAUGUAUUCGAACAGAAGUUAUUUCUACUAAAGAACCUACAGAAAGUUCUAAAUCAGUAAGAUCCUUUAAUACUGAAAUAACUAUAAAAGAUUCGAGUCAACCAAGAAGUUUUGCAAUUGAAAUAACGCAAACAGAUAUGACAACUGAAACUGCUUAUUCUAGUGACUCUCCAGACACUAAAAAUUCUGAAACACCAAAGGACAAACCACAAUGCUAUCAGGAGGGAAACUUGCCAGGAAAGACAUGUAACACAUAUUAUAAAUGUGUUUUCAAGAUUACACUAUUUUUCUUUGGACAAUGGUCCGCAGAAGAAGAAAAAUGUGAUGAUAAUCAGCAUUUUGAUAAGUCUUUGUCAAAAUGUGUUGAAGGAGCUUGUAAAUAAAUAUUAAGGCUUUUUACGAUAAAUAAAUUGUUUGAAAACAUUUAAAAACUGUAUACUUAUAUAAAAAACAUACUGCUACAUCUUAAAGUUCAUUUAAA